CAUUUCUAGCUUGCUAGAAGAUGACGAGUGGCGGACGGGUGAGUAAUGCUUGGGAACUUGCCUUUGCGAGGGGGAUAACAGUUGGAAACGACUGCUAAUACCGCAUAAUGUCUUCGGACCAAACGGGGCUUCGGCUCCGGCGCAAAGAGAGGCCCAAGUGAGAUUAGCUAGUUGGUAAGGUAACGGCUUACCAAGGCGACGAUCUCUAGCUGUUCUGAGAGGAAGAUCAGCCACACUGGGACUGAGACACGGCCCAGACUCCUACGGGAGGCAGCAGUGGGGAAUAUUGCACAAUGGGGGAAACCCUGAUGCAGCCAUGCCGCGUGUGUGAAGAAGGCCUUCGGGUUGUAAAGCACUUUCAGUUGUGAGGAAAAGUUAGUAGUUAAUACCUGCUAGCCGUGACGUUAACAACAGAAGAAGCACCGGCUAACUCCGUGCCAGCAGCCGCGGUAAUACGGAGGGUGCGAGCGUUAAUCGGAAUUACUGGGCGUAAAGCGCACGCAGGCGGUUUGUUAAGCUAGAUGUGAAAGCCCCGGGCUCAACCUGGGAUGGUCAUUUAGAACUGGCAGA
rnacentral:rRNA from 1 species